rnacentral:tRNA from 1 species
UACAGCUUGGUGUUUGUGUUGCAUCUUAUGUUUUGGUCAUAGGGGUAGUUUGUUGCUAGCUGUAG